CCUACGGGAGGCAGCAGUGGGGAAUAUUGGGCAAUGGAGGCAACUCUGACCCAGCAACGCAGCGUGAAUGAUGAAGGUCUUCGGAUUGUAAAGUUCUGUGAUGGGGGAUGAACACAAUGACAGUACCCCAAUAGCAAGCCACGGCUAACUACGUGCCAGCAGCCGCGGUAAUACGUAGGUUGCAAGCGUUAUCCGGAAGGACUGGGCGUAAAGGGUGCGUAGGUGGUUUAGUAAGUUGGCGGUGUAAUUCCGGGGCUCAACCUCGGCGCUACCGCCACAACUAUUAGGCUAGAGUGCGGGGAGGGUAAGUGGAAUUCGUGGUGUAGCGGUGGAAUGCGUAGAUAUUAGGAAGAACAUCGAGGGCGAAGGCGACUUACUGGACUGUAACUGACGCUGAGGCACGAAAGCGUGGGGAGCGAACAGGAUUAGAUACCCGUGUAGUC
rnacentral:rRNA from 1 species